rnacentral:rRNA from 1 species
AAAUUGACCUCAAAUCAGGUAGGACUACCCGCUGAACUUAAGCAUAUCAAUA